UACGGAGGGUGCAAGCGUUAUCCGGAUUUACUGGGUUUAAAGGGUGCGUAGGAGGGCAGGUAAGUCAGUGGUGAAAUCUCCAAGCUUAACUUGGAAACUGCCGUUGAUACUAUCUGUCUUGAAUAUUGUGGAGGUGAGCGGAAUAUGUCAUGUAGCGGUGAAAUGCUUAGAUAUGACAUAGAACACCAAUUGCGAAGGCAGCUCACUACUCAAUCAUUGACUCUGAGGCACGAAAGCGUGGGGAUCAAACAGG
rnacentral:rRNA from 1 species